UACGGGGGGAGCAAGCGUUGUUCGGAUUUACUGGGCGUAAAGGGCGCGUAGGCGGUCAGCACAAGUCAGUUGUGAAAUCUCCGGGCUUAACUCGGAAAGGUCAACUGAUACUGUGCGACUAGAGUGCGGAAGGGGCAACUGGAAUUCUCGGUGUAGCGGUGAAAUGCGUAGAUAUCUGGAGGAACACCGGUGGCGAAGGCGGCGUUCUGGACUGCAACUGACACUGAUGAACGAAAGCCAGGGGAGCAAACGGG
rnacentral:rRNA from 1 species